CAACCAAGCAACACUGCUGUCCAAAGAAUUUGGUCUUGGACUCUUGAAGGAGGAAGUGUCGGAGUAGAUAGUUACGAAGUCAUGAGCAAGGCAGGAGAGCGCCCUUCGCCCCAACCAGGAGGGUCAGAAAACCAUCAGGUGAUGGUCAGGGAGUUGUUAAACUGUCUCUCUAAAAUAAUCAUUUGUUGCAGCUGGUACCAGGGAAAGGCAGUCUCCCUGUAGAUAGAAAACACCUGAAUCUGCCGCUCAUUAACUUCCCAAUAAGAUUUCAGGAGUUGGGCAAGUGGCGUCAAGCAUGCACAAGAAGAGGUAAAAUGGCAGAGGAGCUUAACUGGUAUAUGACCUUCUCUAGGAACACCUGACUAGUAAGAGAAAAACACCUCAAACAACUUCAGGAAACACACUGUGUAUGCGGCCCCUCCCAAGUGUUGACAAGCCACUGCGCAGGUGGACAGCCCAACCCGAGGGAAGAAUUCGGGGAGAAGAGAUGCAAGACCCAGAACAAUGCCAACAUAUAAAACCCCAAGUCAAAAGUCAAACCACACACUUGAAUCUCUCAAGUCGCUCACUUGGCCCUCUUCUGAGUGUACUAUACUUCCUUUUGUUCCUGCUCUAAACUUUUUAAUAAACUUUCACUCCUAUUCUAAAACUUGCCCCGGUCUCUUCCUCUGCCUAAUGCCACUUGGUCAAAUCUUUC
rnacentral:lncRNA from 10 species